rnacentral:rRNA from 1 species
CCUACGGGAGGCAGCAGUGGGGAAUAUUGCACAAUGGGCGCAAGCCUGAUGCAGCCAUGCCGCGUGUAUGAAGAAGGCCUUCGGGUUGUAAAGCACUUUCAGCGAGGAGGAAGGGUUCAGUGUUAAUAGCACUGUGCAUUGACGUUACUCGCAGAAGAAGCACCGGCUAACUCCGUGCCAGCAGCCGCGGUAAU